AACAUUUUCGAAGAGUCAGGAGGAGUUAUAUCUGCAUGUAUGUCUGCAUAGCAUGUACCUUCCUGGUACCUCUGGAAGCCAAAAGAAGGCCUCAGCUAUCCUGGAACUUGAGUUACAGAUGGUUGUGAGCCACCACAUAGGAAUGUUGGGAACUGAACCUGGGUCCUCAGGAAGACUGGCCAGUGUUCUUAACUGCUGAGUCAUCUCUCCAGCCUUGCACAGGGGAACAGCUGGAGGUUGCAAACAUGGUCGAGAAAGAACUCGCAGCUGAGACCCAUCUCAGGAGGUGCCUGUCUCCUCCAGGGCCACUCAACACAUCCAAUACUGUGACACAGGCCUUCCUAACCGUCUCUGGUGACAACAGGACAGGAACAUCACAGCUGUUUAUGUGCUAUGAUUUCCUAUGUGUGCACACAGGAAUAAGACUCUCUUGCCUUGCCCACAAACCACUCUUCACUCUUGGGAUGACCUUGCUCCAGCUGGGAUCAGAAGUUCUAGAGCAUUCUGGAAGACAAAAUGGGUAGCAAGUACAGAAGAGAGCUCCCAACUUCAUCACCACCGGGAAAAUGCAAAAUGCAACCAUGAGAUGCCACCUCUCAAACAUAAGGAUGACGAAAUGCAGAAGUCAAGUGGGUGAAGCCGUGCCCUCUUACAGAACUAGAUAAAGACAUUGUGAACACCCGGCGCGGGGGCUUCGUAGAAAGCUAAAAGUAGGGUUGCCGUAUGAUCCAGCAAGCUCACUUCUGGAUAGAGCAAAGGAAGUGAAGUCACAGACAACCGCUUUAUGCUUAUAUGUUGCAGUGUUAUAAUUGGUAGCAAUUUGCCUGAGAUGUGCCAACUGAUCCAGAUGAAGAAAUCAGGCUACACACGUACAAUAGAAGGGAAUGUGCUUCAGCCUUGGAAGAGGCAGUCCUGACGUCUAUGAGUGAACAUGGAAGACAAAUGUGCCCCUCAGGGAAAGCGACACAUACAAGUUUGUCUAGAGAACUAGAAUAUUCUUUCUUGUGGAAAGAAAGGCCAUUUCCCACGAGAGCUGAUGACCAGGAUGCGAAAUGACAUCUGGUGACCGCGCAGCUGCGGAUUGUCGAAUCCAAAGCAAUAAAAGGAUCUAGAAAUGUGAGCCAGUACUCUUUAAAAUAAAAAUAAAAA
rnacentral:lncRNA from 1 species